rfam:Dipodomys ordii contig_98448, whole genome shotgun sequence.
GGUGGCUCAGUGAUAGAGCGCCUGCCUUGCAUGCAUGAGGCCCUGAGUUCCCAUUCCUCAGCACCA